CAGUAGCCGCGGGAAUACGAAGGGGGCUAGCGUUGUUCGGAUUUACUGGGCGUAAAGCGCACGUAGGCGGAUCGAUCAGUCAGGGGUGAAAUCCCAGAGCUCAACUCUGGAACUGCCUUUGAUACUGUCGAUCUGGAGUAUGGAAGAGGUGAGUGGAAUUCCGAGUGUAGAGGUGAAAUUCGUAGAUAUUCGGAGGAACACCAGUGGCGAAGGCGGCUCACUGGUCCAUUACUGACGCUGAGGUGCGAAAGCGUGGGGAGCAAACAGGAUUAGAUACCCGGGUAGUCCCUGUCUCUUAUAC
rnacentral:rRNA from 1 species